rnacentral:misc_RNA from 1 species
AAGGGGAUUACUAAUUUCAAUCUUGAUGUUGGUGAUCGCCUCUUGAAAUUCAUUUGGCUCCCAACCAUGUCGGGGGCCCUGACUGCAGUUCGAUUCUGGUUGAUGACACCGACAAUGACAUCGCCCAGUGUCAUGAGAGUCAUAGUCGCCCCAUUUGAGCUGAACAUCUAUCAAGUACUUGUUACUGGUUUUCUGAUCAAACACAUCUUUUAAUUCAGCCACAAGACUAGGCUUUG